UACCCGCAGCUCAAGUGGUGGUCAUUAUUAUUGGGCCUAAAGCGUCCGUAGCAGGCUUGUUAGAUGCCUGGGUAAAUCGAUGCGCUUAACGCAUCGAAUUCCGGGUAGACCGGCAAGCUCGAGACCGGGAGAGGCGUGAGCUACUCAAGGGGUAGGGGUAAAAUCCUGUAAUCCUUUGGGGAGGACCAGUGGCGAAGGCGUCACGCUAGAACGGCUCUGACUGUGAGGGACGAAGCC
rnacentral:rRNA from 1 species